rnacentral:rRNA from 1 species
UGGGGAAUAUUGCACAAUGGGGGAAACCCUGAUGCAGCAACGCCGCGUGCGGGAUGACGGCCUUCGGGUUGUAAACCGCUUUCAGCCAUGACGAAGCUUUUGUGACGGUAGUGGCAGAAGAAGCACCGGCUAACUACGUGCCAGCAGCCGCGGUGAUACGUAGGGUGCGAGCGUUGUCCGGAAUUAUUGGGCGUAAAGGGCUUGUAGGCGGUUUGUCGCGUCGAAAGUGUAAACUCAGUGCUUAACGCUGAGCCUGCUUUCGAUACGGGCUGACUAGAGGAAGGUAGGGGAGAAUGGAAUUCCCGGUGGAGCGGUGGAAUGCGCAGAUAUCGGGAGGAACACCAGUGGCGAAGGCGGUUCUCUGGACCUUUCCUGACGCUGAGAAGCGAAAGCGUGGGUAGCAAACAGG